rnacentral:ncRNA from 1 species
GUGAAAACGCCCUCAACCCCUCAAUUAAGGAAGAGGAGCCGGUAUCAGGCACAACUACUUAGCCCACAACACCUAGCCACGCCACGCCCACAAGGGUAUUCAGCAGUGAUAAACAUUGUUUAUAAGCGCCAGCUUGAAUCAGUUAUGGUAAAGAGGGCCGGCAAAUCCGGUGCCAGCCGCCGCGGCUACACCGUCAGGCCCAAGUUGACACACACCGGCGUUAAGCGUGAUUAGAGUGAUUUUAUUGAUUAGAGUUAAACCCCAACUUAGUCGUGAUACACUUGUCCCCGGGAAAUCCAAAAACGAAAGUUACUCUAACCCACCCACUUGAACCCACGACAGCUAGGACACAAACUGGGAUUAGGUACCCCACUAUGCCUAGCCGUAAAACAUAUACUCACCCCACAAAUCGCCAGGGAAUUACGAGCCCAAGCUUAAAACCCAAAGGACUUGACGGUGUCCCACCCACCUAGAGGAGCCUGUUCUAUAAUCGAUUAUCCCCGAUAAACCUCACCACUUCUUGUUAUUCAGCCUGUAUACCUCCGUCGUAAGCUUACCAUGUGAACGAAUUUAGUGAGUCUAAGGGUCCCCCCCACCAAUACGUCAGGUCAAGGUGCAGCUAACGAACUGGGAAGAAAUGGGCUACAAUUUCUACCAUAGAACAAACGAAAGGCUACAUGAAAUAUAGUCACUGAAGGCGGAUUUAGCAGUAAAAAGAAAAUAGAGAGUUCUUUUUAACAAGGCGCUGGGACGCGUACACACCGCCCGUCACCCUCUUCGAAUGCCAAACUGUUGUAAAUAACCACAAAUAGCACCCUAGAAGAGGUAAGUCGUAACACGGUAAGCGUACUGGAAAGUGCGCUUGGAUCAA